GAUGAACGCUGGCGGCGUGCUUAACACAUGCAAGUCGAACGAAGCACCUUGAUUUGAUUCUUCGGAUGAAGAUCUUGGUGACUGAGUGGCGGACGGGUGAGUAACGCGUGGGUAACCUGCCUCAUACAGGGGGAUAACAGUUAGAAAUGACUGCUAAUACCGCAUAAGACCACAGCACCGCAUGGUGCAGGGGUAAAAACUCCGGUGGUAUGAGAUGGACCCGCGUCUGAUUAGGUAGUUGGUGGGGUAACGGCCUACCAAGCCGACGAUCAGUAGCCGACCUGGGAGGGUGACCGGCCACGAUGGGACUGAGACACGGCCCAAACUCCUACGGGAGGCAGCAGUGGGGAAUAUUGUACAAUGGGGGAAACCCUGAUGCAGCGACGCCGCGUGAGCGAUGAAGUAUUUCGGUAUGUAAAGCUCUAUCAGCAGGGAAGAAAAUGACGGUACCUGACUAAGAAGCACCGGCUAAAUACGUG
rnacentral:rRNA from 1 species